rnacentral:rRNA from 1 species
UAAUUAAAAAUCUGACCUGCCCAAUGUGAAUGGCCGCAGUAUUUUGACUGUGCUAAGGUAGCAUAAUAAUUAGCUUUGUAAUUUAAGGCUGGAAUGAAUGGUUUGACGAGGGAAAUUCUGUUUCGAGUGAGUAAAUUGCUUUUGUUGUGAAAAGGCAUGAGGGACGAGAAGACCCUAUUAAGUUUUACUGUUUGACUGGGGCGGUGUUGAUGAUUAUUGGAUUUAAUUACUAUAGGGAUAACAGCGUAAUAUUUUUGGAGAGUUCUUAUUGAUGAAAAAUUUUGCGACCUCGAUGUUGAAUUAAACCUGCAUGGUGAAGACCAUUCAAACAC